UACCUGCAGCUCUAGUGGUGACCACUAUUAUUGGGCCUAAAACGUCCGUAGCCGGCUUAUUAAAUGCCUGGGUAAAUCGUACGGCUUAACCGUACGAAUUCCGGGUAGACUGAUAGGCUUGGGACCGGGAGAAGCUAGAGGUACUCUUGGGGUAGAGGUGAAAUUUUGUAAUCCUAGGGGGACCACCAGUGGCGAAGGCGUCUAGCUAGAACGGGUUUGACGGUGAGGGACGAAGCCCUGGGGAGCAAACGGGAUUAGAUACCCCCGGUAGUCCAGGGUGUAAACGCUGCUUGCUUGAUGUUAGUCGGGCUCCGUGCCCGAUUAGUGUCGGAGAGAAGUUGUUAAGCAAGCUGCCUGGGAAGUACGGCCGCAAGACUGAAACUUAAAGGAUUGGCGGGGGAGCACUGCAACGGGUGGAGCGUGCGGUUU
rnacentral:rRNA from 1 species